rnacentral:rRNA from 1 species
UACGGAGGUGGCAAGCGUUGCUCGGAAUCACUGGGCGUAAAGGGCGCGUAGGCGGGGAGGUAAGUCGGGGGUGAAAUCCCUCGGCCCAACUGAGGAACUGCGCCCGAGACUGCUUCUCUUGAGUCCCGGAGAGGAAGAUGGAAUUCCCGGUGUAGCGGCGAAAUGUGUAGAGAUCGGGAGGAACACCGGUGGCGAAGGCGGUCUUCUGGACGGUGACUGACGCUGAGGCGCGAAAGCGUGGGGAGCAAACGGG